UACGAGGGGAGCAAGCGUUGUUCGGAUUUACUGGGCGUAAAGGGCGCGUAGGCGGCGUGACUAGUCACUUGUGAAAUCUCCGGGCUUAACUCGGAACGGUCAAGUGAUACUGUCGUGCUAGAGUACAGAAGGGGCAACUGGAAUUCUCGGUGUAGCGGUGAAAUGCGUAGAUAUCGUAAGGAAGACCAGUGGCGAAGGCGGGUCUCUGGACAGUUCCUGACGCUGAGGCACGAAGGCCAGGGGAGCAAACAGG
rnacentral:rRNA from 1 species